rnacentral:rRNA from 1 species
UGGCUGUCCGAGUUGUAAUCUAGAGAAGUGUUACCCGCGUCGGACCGUGUAAAAGUCUCCUGGAAUGGAGCGUCAUAGAGGGUGAGAAUCCCGUCUUUGACACGGGCUACCGAGGCUUUUGUGGUGCUCUCAACGAGUCGAGUUGUUUGGGAAUGCAGCUCAAAAUGGGUGGUAAAUUCCAUCUAAAGCUAAAUAUUGGCGAGAGACCGAUAGCGAACAAGUACCGUGAGGGAAAGAUGAAAAGAACUUUGGAAAGAGAGUUAAACAGUACGUGAAAUUGCUGAAAGGGAAACGCUUGAAGUCAGUCGCGUUGGCCGGAAAUCAACCUUGCCAGGUGUACUUUCUGGUUAACGGGCCAGCAUCAGUUUUGACCGAUGGAAAAAGUCUAAGGGAAUGUGGCAUCUUCGGAUGUGUUAUAGCCCUUGGUCGUAUACAUCGGUUGGGACUGAGGAAUUCAGCACGCCGCAAGGCCGGGUCUUUGGACCACGUUCGUGCUUAGGAUGCUGGCAUAAUGGCUUUAAUCGACCCGUCUUGAAACACGGACCAAGGAGUCUAACAUGCCUGCGAGUGUUUGGGUGGAAAACCCGAGCGCGUAAUGAAAGUGAAAGUUGGGAUCCCUGUCAUGGGGAGCACCGACGCCCGGACCAGACGUACUCUGACGGAUCCGCGGUAAAGCAUGUAUGUUGGGACCCGAAAGAUGGUGAACUAUGCCUGAAUAGGGUGAAGCCAGAGGAAACUCUGGUGGAGGCUCGUAGC